GCAAAUCAAUAUAGAUUGAUAAUUUAUAAUUUAUUUAUUUUAUUUUUAUAUUUAUAAAAUAAAUUUAUUUAAAAUAUUUAUAAUAAAUUAAUUUUUAGUAAUUUUUAUUGAAAAAAUAAUUUUAAUAAUAAUUUAUUAUGUAUUGUGAAAGAAUAUUGAAAUAUUUUUGAAAAAUUUUUAUUUAAAAAGAAAAUUUAAUUUAUUGUACCUUGUGUAUCAGGGUAAAUUAAAUAAUUAAUAUUUAUUAUUUAUUAAUCUCGAUUUUAUAAGAGCUAAUAAUUUAUAAAUUUAGUGUUAAAAUAAAUUUAAAUAAAUUAUUUGAAAUGAAAUGUUAUUCGUUUAUAAAGGUAUCUAGUUUUUUUAGAAAUAAAUUUAAUUUACAAGUUUCUAAUUUUUAAUUUAUUUAAUAAAUUUAAAAAAUUAGAAAUUUGAAUAUUUUAAGGGAUAAGCUUUAAAAUAAAAUAUUAAAAAUAAAAAAUAAUUAAUUAAAAUGUAUGUUUAAAAUUAGCAAUCAUUUAUAAGUUUAUUAUAAAUUAUUAUAAGAAUUUAAAUUAUUUAUUUUAAUUUUAAUUUUAUAUAAAAUUAUUUUUAUUAAUUUAAAUAAAAAUGUAAUAAUGAUUUAAUUAGUAUAUAAUUAUUGUUUAAAUAUUUUUUUUUAAAAAGUUUAUUUAAAUAACUCGGCAAAUUUUAAAUUUAUACUCGGCCUGUUUAACAAAAACAUGUCUUUUAGAAUUUUAUUUAAAGUCUAACCUGCCCACUGAAUUAUUUUAAAUGGCCGCAGUAAUUUGACUGUGCAAAGGUAGCAUAAUCAUUAGUCUUUUAAUUGAAGGCUUGAAUGAACGGUUGGACGAAGUAUAAGCUGUUUCAUAUAAAUUUAUAUUAGAAUUUUAUAUUUUAGUAAAAAAGCUAAAAUUUUAUUAAAAGACGAGAAGACCCUAUAAAUCUUUAUAUUUUUUAUUAUUUAAGUAUUUUAAAUUUAUUUAAUUUUUAUAAUAAAAAAUAUUUUGUUGGGGUGAUAUUAAAAUUUAAUUAACUUUUAAUUUUUGAAAUCAUUAAUUUAUGAAUUAUUGAUCCAUUAGUAUUGAUUAUAAGAUUAAGUUACUUUAGGGAUAACAGCGUAAUUUUUUUAGAGAGUUCAUAUCGAUAAAAAAGUUUGCGACCUCGAUGUUGGAUUAAGGUAUAAAUUUGGGUGUAGCUGUUCAAAUAUUAAGUCUGUUCGACUUU
rnacentral:rRNA from 1 species